rnacentral:rRNA from 1 species
GGGAGCAAACAGGAUUAGAUACCCUGGUAGUCCACGCUGUAAACGAUGUCGACUUGGAGGUUGUGCCCUUGAGGUGUGGCUUCCGGAGCUAACGCGUUAAGUCGACCGCCUGGGGAGUACGGCCGCAAGGUUAAAACUCAAAUGAAUUGACGGGGGCCCGCACAAGCGGUGGAGCAUGUGGUUUAAUUCGAUGCAACGCGAAGAACCUUACCUGGUCUUGACAUCCACGGAAGUUUUCAGAGAUGAGAAUGUGCCUUCGGGAACCGUGAGACAGGUGCUGCAUGGCUGUCGUCAGCUCGUGUUGUGAAAUGUUGGGUUAAGUCCCGCAACGAGCGCAACCCUUAUCCUUUGUUGCCAGCGGUCCGGCCGGGAACUCAAAGGAGACUGCCAGUGAUAAACUGGAGGAAGGUGGGGAUGACGUCAAGUCAUCAUGGCCCUUACGACCAGGGCUACACACGUGCUACAAUGGCGCAUACAAAGAGAAGCGACCUCGCGAGAGCAAGCGGACCUCAUAAAGUGCGUCGUAGUCCGGAUUGGAGUCUGCAACUCGACUCCAUGAAGUCGGAAUCGCUAGUAAUCGUGGAUCAGAAUGCCACGGUGAAUACGUUCCCGGGCCUUGUACACACCGCCCGUCACACCAUGGGAGUGGGUUGCAAAAGAAGUAGGUAGCUUAACCUUCGGGAGGGCGCUUACCACUUUGUGAUUCAUGACUGGGGUGAAGUCGUAACAAGGUAACCGUAGGGGAACCUGCGGUUGGAUCAC